rnacentral:rRNA from 1 species
GUGGGGAAUAUUGGACAAUGGGCGAAAGCCUGAUCCAGCCAUGCCGCGUGUGUGAAGAAGGUCUUCGGAUUGUAAAGCACUUUAAGUUGGGAGGAAGGGCAGUAAGUUAAUACCUUGCUGUUUUGACGUUACCGACAGAAUAAGCACCGGCUAACUUCGUGCCAGCAGCCGCGGUAAUACGAAGGGUGCAAGCGUUAAUCGGAAUUACUGGGCGUAAAGCGCGCGUAGGUGGUUUUGUAAGUUGGAGGUGAAAUCCCCGGGCUCAACCUGGGAACUGCCUCCAAAACUGCAGGACUAGAGUACGGUAGAGGGUAGUGGAAUUUCCUGUGUAGCGGUGAAAUGCGUAGAUAUAGGAAGGAACACCAGUGGCGAAGGCGACUACCUGGACUGAUACUGACACUGAGGUGCGAAAGCGUGGGGAGCAAACAGGAUUAGAAACCCUGGUAGUCC